AUCACCGAAAUUAAGCAUCAUUGGGCGCGGUCAGUACUUGGGUGGGUGACCACCUGGGAACACUGCGUGCCGUU
rnacentral:rRNA from 1 species